rnacentral:lncRNA from 1 species
GUACUUAUAUGUCUACAAAUAUGCAUCUGCUCAUUCAGUCUUCACAAUGACACCACGAGGUCAAUGAUUAUUUUACUCCCAUUUUACGUUUACGGACACGGGCACUUAGAGCCAGUCAGAAACUCCUCGGAGAGCAUCAUCUUCUGAGGAGCAGCGCGGCACUGGUGGUCUGGGUCCUCGGGCUUCACAGCAGACGGCUGUCGAGGCUAAUGUGCAAGGCAGCGAGGGCAGGCAGCUCUGCUCCCAGCAUCCAGGACUAGGUUAUCACCUCCGAGCCUCAUCUUGCACCAACCUCAGGUGUGGCCGUAGCAAUGUCGCUACACAGUGUGCUCAGAAGAGCGAGAACUUAUGGUAGUAUGGCCUUCCUGGCUGCCCUCAGGGGACUUUGGUGAGAAGCUAAAUUGAGAGCCAGCAGGCCCACCAGGUGAUUCUGCGCGCUGCGUGGGGGUUGGUGGACCACCAGGCCCCUGGAUAAGAAGGAGUUGUGGCUGUCAUGCAGAGAUCUGUGGCCGGAAUCUGAGCUACAAGACUUGGAGACAUGGAGAGACUCAGAGUUAGUGGGGUGCUGAAGCAGAAAGGCCAGUGCCAUCAUGAUGAGGCAUGCAGGUCGAGAUGACCCAGGAGUCAACCCACUGAGUGGCUGAAGAAGCUAGCUGCCAGCAAGAGACCAGGGCAGAAGUGUGACCCGAAAAUACCCCCCAGUGCUGUACCCGGCUGAGAGUCGACACAUCAGACCCAACACAGCUCCAUUGUAAAGUGCCAGGAAAGAAGGAUCGGUGAUGGAGUGCUUUCUUCAAGAAUGUUUUAAAAGAAAUGAAGGCAUUGAAGUUUAAAACACUUGUAUAACUUACCCAGGAUUACUUAGCUGAGAAAUGCUGAAGCUAAGGUGGGAUCUAAUUCCAGGUGGCUUAACUCAAGAUCUUUCUCAUAUCACUUUGUUACUCUCUAUCUCUAGUUAUCUGUAUAUCAUGACAAUUUUUUUACUUAAUUGAUCUAUGUUCUAAACAUGUAUGCUUAGUUUAGUAAUUUUUUGAAGGAGGAAU